AGCCAUGGGAUUUCGGUGUGUGUUGC
rnacentral:piRNA from 1 species